CCAUAGGAGAGUUGAUAAUUGCCCUGGAGGUUAGGGGAAAAGUCUAGCUGAGCAGUUUUCUGUGACUGGAGAUAGGCUCAUCCUAAAACCAGUUACAGUUUAUUUGCAGGAGCUACUUUCAGUAUGAGUCUUUGUGACAGGGGAGAAGGAGGUGCACCAUCUGGUUUGCCUUCAUUCCACGAGCUGAAGGUACCCCUGUCAGAACAAAGCGCUGAACAAAAAUCCACCAGGGUCAAACGCCGUCGAACGAGACGGGAACGCAACUACAUCAAAUUUGGCAGGAAGGCUACGGGCAAAAUUCCAGAACAAAGGCCCAACUGCAGAGGCCUAAAGAAGAUGCUGCCCCCUUUCUGGAGCUCUCAGCUUAGCAACUGUGCCAAAUCGACCCCCAUCAAAGGGACCCACCUUGCAAACUCCGUGAUCAUAACCCAGAACAGACUGACACAGCAUCUGGGCAUCUUUAACAGAGAGGUGAAAUCGGCUGACAUUGAGAGACUGUUGAGUCCCAGGGCUGAGCAUGAUACAAUGGAUGUAACUCCUAUCCAGAAAGCCAGUGGAGGGCUGAUGGGAGGAGAGAUACAGUCCUGUAGCCCUCUUGAUGCAAAUCAGAAAUCUGUCUCUGGAGAGCAAGGAGAAUGCCUUUUAAAAGAUUUAAGCACCGUGCACGAGGAUUCUCAUUUUACGGCAAUGCCAGCUGCCCCUGCAUCAGUCAGAGAACACCAGCCAGUAGCAGUGGUGCAGGAGGUGGUGGAGGCAGGCUACAAGCCUUCAUUGGCAUCUCCUGCUGCGACCUUUGAUCAACAGGCUAUAGAGGACGAAGCUUUCCAAAGCAACACAACAGUGGCUGUGAAUGACAAGGAAAAUGUCCCCCCACCUCCCGCAGAAGGAGCUGGGUUGACUCAACCUAAACAUCCCGCGAAAGAACUUGCCCAGGACUUAGAAAAACUGUUGGACCUCAAGACAAUAUUCCCUGGGCGUGAUUUAAUCAGUGAAAUGCGGCAGACCGUUAUCAAUGCCGUGCUGCAGCAAAACAAAAGCUUGCCAGAUUUUUCUGCUUUGACGUUGCUCAGGAAGAAAGCAGGUAGUUGUAACACGGACGCCGGGGACAUAGAUUUGCAAUUCCUGAUGGGAUUCCUUGCGUUCGCUUACUGUGCCCUCUUUUAGAUUUCAACAGCCCAGAUAACAGAGGAGAGAAAAAGCUGCUUUUGGGACAGAAAUCCAGCAGCUGCAACAGUAGGAACUCUGAGCAGACCGUCUCUCUGAAAACCCCAAAAGAGCAUGAGCAAAUUUUCCUCGCCUGUUUCUCUCACGGACCUACACAUAGAGCUGUAAGAGUGGCAGACGACAGACUAGCCCAAAGAGAAGAUGUUGAAUUGUUUGCUGAGCCAGAAGCACGUGACCAACGAAGCUUUUUUCUAAGGGCAGCUCAACCUUACUCUCUUCCGUCGACAUCUUCCGAGCGUGUGAAUUCAGCCAGAAGUUCCUUUGCUCUCCCAACUGCUCAGCACUGGGUGCAAAGCCUGGGGGAAUCCAGAGGCAGGCAGGAGAGGUCUGAAGGCAAACAGAAAACGCCCUUGAAAAAAAUGGCUAUCUCUAAAAGGCAUCACCAACUUCGUCAACCUCUGGCUGCUCGAGAUUUCUUUGGAUCAGCCGGCCUUAGCAAAAGCCCUGGCUGUUUCCUUUUGGCUGAUCCACAGCCAUAUUCUUUGGCCUGUCAACCCAGACCAGACCAGUGGAACUUACAGGAGGCAGAGUCUCUUCCAGUGUACAACUUGCAUCCUUCACAGGAGCUGCACAGUUCUCAACUGUUCGACUUAGGGCUCGCCGCUACGGAAAGGGCUGCCCCAGACUUCCAGACUUCUUUCGAUGUCUUAAAAAGUAUCUGGAGUCCUAAACUGCCCAGUAAGGAGGCCAAACUCCCAAUCUCCGGAGCCCUGGCCUGUUCUUCCUUGGCUCACCUGCCGCUGUCUUCCAGAGAACUGCACUCCGAACAAGGGCAGCCCAAGGAAUUUUUCCAGCUCGAUGUCAUCUCUCCACCGCCUCAUUCUUUCUAUAGGCAGUGCUUUCAGCAAGACGUCUCUGCACCGAGCAGACACCCUCAGCUAAAGAAUGGGCUCUCUGUGCAAGGAAAACCUCGGCUCUAUUACCAGAAGAUAUCUUCCCAGCAAGAAAGGGCCUCACACGACCACCAGCUCUGGGGGCUGGCAGAGGCCUCCGAAAAAAAGCAAGGUUCUAGAGGCAAAGGAGCUUCCAGACCUGGGAACCAGGUUUGUGGUCUGGGAAGGCUGCUUCAUUUGGAAGACGCACAGCAGCUGCAGGUUUUUCAGCAACUGCCCAUGUCUUGUUUCCCCCCUUCUGAAGCUUUAGAGAACGGGAAUUCUCCUCUCUGCACCUUACAGGGCCAUCUGUGGGGGCAACCCAGUCCUGAACCCUGGGCCUUCCCCAGGAUGAAGUUGUACUGAAAACCUGUGCAUCGUUAGAGACUUGGAAAAGAGACAGAAAAUGGCUCAGUAUGAAUAGGAGAACCCAGACAUAUUAACUCAGAAGUAGCAUUAGCCACCUUGGACCUGUAAUUGCAUCUCUCUCAAUCAUUUUGUUCUGUGAUUUUUUUUUCCUUCAGUUUUUUUUUUUUAAAAAGCCCUUUUUGUUCAGGUCACUUACAGAAUUAUAGUCUCUUUUUCCCCCCCAGCUAAGCCGGCCCCAUGAGGCAAUUGCUUUACAAGGGGCGAUGAAGGUUGGUUGUCUUCCAUUGUGUAUGAUGAGGCACAAAAUCCUAUUACCAGCCUUCAUUAAAUUACAUUCUAAGAAACACAAUACUGUUCUUUUGCCGUUUUUGAAGGGAGGGAAACAAUCCAGAUGAUUUUUAUAGGGCAGAAUAAAUACCUACAUCACCAUAUCACAAAGAUACCUGAUUUGGAUUGUUGUUCUGAAGCUUCUGAUGUAUUUCAUCUCUUUUGCAAUUAUGUGCCGUGCGGCGGUGUUGACUUUACUUCCACCAAGUUAGAUCUGUAACA